rnacentral:rRNA from 1 species
UACGUAGGGGGCUAGCGUUAUCCGGAAUUACUGGGCGUAAAGGGUGCGUAGGUGGUUUUUAAGUCAGAAGUGAAAGGCUACGGCUCAACCGUAGUAAGCUUUUGAAACUAAAGAACUUGAGUGCAGGAGAGGAGAGUAGAAUUCCUAGUGUAGCGGUGAAAUUCGUAGAUAUUGCAAGAACACCAGUGGCGAAGGCGGCUCACUGGCCCGGUACUGACGCUGAGGUGCGAAAGCGUGGGGAGCAAACAGGAUUAGAAACCUCAGUAGUCGACGAACCAAACAUCUCUUCGCGUAACCC